AGAGUUUGAUCCUGGCUCAGGACGAACGCUGGCGGCGUGCCUAACACAUGCAAGUCGAGCGAUGAAGUUUCCUUCGGGAAAUGGAUUAGCGGCGGACGGGUGAGUAACACGUGGGUAACCUGCCUUAUAGUGGGGGAUAGCCUUUCGAAAGGAAGAUUAAUACCGCAUAAGAUUGUAGUAUCGCAUGAUAUAGCAAUUAAAGGAGUAAUCCGCUAUAAGAUGGACCCGCGUCGCAUUAGCUAGUUGGUGAGGUAAUGGCUCACCAAGGCGACGAUGCGUAGCCGACCUGAGAGGGUGAUCGGCCACAUUGGGACUGAGACACGGCCCAGACUCCUACGGGAGGCAGCAGUGGGGAAUAUUGCACAAUGGGCGAAAGCCUGAUGCAGCAACGCCGCGUGAGUGAUGACGGCCUUCGGGUUGUAAAACUCUGUCUUCAGGGACGAUAAUGACGGUACCUGAGGAGGGAGCCACGGCUAACUACGU
rnacentral:rRNA from 1 species